rnacentral:lncRNA from 10 species
UCCCACACUGGUCAGUUACAGCCUCCUACGUCCCAGCUGUGCGUUUCCUGUGAAAAGAAUAAUGAUCAGCAGCACAAGUUCUAUAAGGGCAGAACCAUGUCUGUCUCCAGAGCCUGGCACAAGGCCUGACACCUAAAGAGCACCCAAAGAACAUCUGUGCCAUCAAUGAAUGAAUGAAUGAAUGAAGCAAUGGUUCCAUCUUGCUCUUGUCUGGGCUCCAGAGCCUGGUAUUCAGAAAAUGUCAUUUCAGCAGAGAACUAACUGGAUGUGGCUGCGGCAGCCCUGAAGAGCCCAUAGAAGAAAAGUUUGAAUUCCCCAGAAUCAGCCCAUUCUUGCAUUAAUUUCAAAACAUAGUUGAGUGCCUACUGUGUGUGCCAGGCACUGGUGGUGGUGAUACAGCAGUAAGCAAGAGAGACAGUAAAAAAUACAGACAAGCAAA